AUCUGUUAAAACUUAUUUCUGUGACAGGUCUGACUGAAUUCAGUGGACAGUUUAAAGUAUUGCGAAAAAGUACAAAUAUAAAACACUGCGCUGCCAAGUUACUGCCAAAGGCUAGAUAUAGUGGUGUUCGUGCAUCAAACACAACUAAACAAUGUGAGCAUUUAUUUGGGCCAUUAGAUGAGAACAGUAUGGAACCAGGAUAUGGAUAUGCAAAACUUAUAUCGUGGAAAGAAUCAUACAUGCCGCCGAAAGAAAUUCGACAUCUCGAACCUUGGACUUUCGAUGCCUUUGGUAUUUUCGGUGUUGAUUCUCGUAUGGACUUUAACUUCACUUGGCCAGAGAAGACUUGGGAUAAAAUUUGUUUGUCGUUCUAUGAAGCACCAGGGACACUCAAUAUGUUUCGAGCUUG